GCAUCUCCUGCCUGCGGAGGCCACCGUCGACCCGUGCCCUUUAGGCCUUAAUUGAUCGUGCUCUGGAAUUUAGCUUCCGAUAGCUUAGCCGUCUUGUCAGAGCACAAGAGAGCUCAACUUGUGAAACAUAUAAUUGUGGUUUCAGUACUUGCCCGUGACCAUGUACUUAAUUUACAAACCCUUAUAUGUCUCUAGUGAGACUAAUCUCAUUUUAUAGGUUGGUUCUUGCCUAUCCACUGUUAAUCCCUCUGUUUUUGAUGUCCUGCACAAAGUGGGUUAUGAGCAUCAUCGUGCAAUUGAUUCAAUUUUGUAUCCAGUGUGAUGUUACUUCUCAGGAAAGAAAAGACAAGCUGGUUUGUAGUAUUCUGUGAUUAUAUGUGGACUGGGUUUCUGAAUGUUAAAGUUCUGGAUGCCUCGGUACCAGCAUCUAGAUGUGUCAAAAGAUGUGAGGUAGACAGAAGACUUGGAACUAUCCUCAAGGAACAGGAGAUGGCAUCUCUCCCUGUCCCGAGUGUGCAGGCCAUGGUGGCGGCCACCGGUGGAGCCGACGUGCCGCCAAGGUAUCUCCGUCCGGCAGAGGCGGUCGCUGGCGACAGCGAGGCCCACAUCCCCAUCAUCGACUACCAGAGGCUGCUGCUGGAGCUGGAGCUGGACCGCCAUGGCGAGGAGUCUGCACGCCUUCACGGGGCCUGCCAGGACUGGGGCUUCUUCCAGGUCAGUUCCUUGGCUGAAAAUUCCCAUUGCUUCAUCUCUGCACGCCUUCACAGGGCCUGCCAGGACUUGAGUUGCUCUUAUAAUUGCCUCAUCCUGAUACUAGAAAUAAAUGGUUCUUGCAGCUGAUUAACCACAGCGUCCCAGACGAUGUGGUGGAGGGAAUGAAGGCCAGCAUCCAGCAGUUCUUUCAGUUACCCAUGGAGACGAAGAAACAGUUUGCUAUGGAGCGAGGGCAGCUGGAAGGCUACGGUCAACUAUUCGUCUUCUCGGAGGAUCAGAAGCUCGAUUGGGCUGACAUACUUUACCUCUACACACAGCCACAUGAGAGCAGGAACACCAAGCUCUGGCCAGACCAGCCUGCCAACUUCAGGUAUGGUUGCGAUUGUGAUUCUCCGCUGCCACACUACUGUUCAGCCUGAUUACAACGAUGACAUGAUACCCUUUUUUUUUGUUGCCUCCUUAAUUGUUUUGCCCUAGCUGGAAGGGAAAUUUGGGUGGAAAUUAACAGUUUUAAAAACAUUCUUUUGUUGUCUGUACUUGUCUCAGUCUCUCAGAUACCUAUUGUUGUCUCCUCUAAUUUUUCCUACUUGGAAGUGCAAAUUUGUAGAGAAACGAUUGAAAAAAGCAUCAUUUCUAGCGCAAAUUGUGGUUCCGACUUCCAAGUCUUAUGCUACUAGAUGGAAGAUUGUAGUGCAGUUCUUACCCGUGAUACGUUUUGUUGUACUCUGAAUCUCAUUCAGAUCGAUGCUGGAUAGAUAUUCUGGUGCUGUCAAGGAUGUAUCAGACUCCCUUUUGGCCACGAUGGCAAAGAAUUUGGGACUGAAAAGAGAAGCGAUCGCUGACAAAUGCAUCCGUGGAGUGCAGUCUGUCAGAAUGAACUACUACCCCCCAUGCGCCCAAGCUGAGAAAGUCGUUGGCUUAUCCCCGCAUUCUGAUGCUGGUCUCCUAACCCUUGUCCUCCAAGUGAAUCAUGUCCAGGGCCUGCAGAUCAAGAGGAACAACAGGUGGCUUCCAGUCAAGCCUGUCCCGGGCGCUUUCAUCGUCAACAUCGGAGAUAUGUUUGAGGUGAGUGCGUGCAGCCGAACACCGAAUCGAAGCUACUGUCUGCUGAUGGCCAGAUGUUGUAUGACUCAGUAUGCUUGCAAAACUAAAAUAUCAUCAACCAAAUAAAUCCAUUCUCGCUGUUUGUUUUGCUUUGACGAGGAUAGGUCUUCACGAACGGGAGGUACAAGAGCAUCGAGCACCGGGCGGUUGUCGACCCGAAGGAAGAACGGCUGUCAGUCGCGGCGUUCCACUUACCAAACAUCCACGCCAUUAUAAGUCCUCUGAAGGAGAUUGCGGCACAUGAAGACGAUGGCUACAAGACGUUGGACCACGGGAGCUUCAUGAAGCUUUUCUACACGACAAAGCUCGAGGGGAAGAGCUUCUUGGAGAGGCUGAAGCUAAACUAGCUGGCCAGCAGCUGAAUGCUACCGUAUAUCAGGUAACAAGCCAUAUUGGUGCAGGCACCGUUGAUUCGCGUCCAUGCAUCAUUCUUGUAUCAGAUGCUCAGAUAGUUGACACAUGUAUCGGUUUGCACUUUGCAACCAAUCAUUCUCUGGAAUUUAGUUUCCGAUAGCUAGUCGCCUUGUUAGAGGCACAUAUUCUGUGGUUUCAGUGUGUUCUGUAACUCUGUGCAAACCUUUAUUUAUGUCACCUAAUCGCAUUCGAUAGAUUGUUGUUUCUACCAGUCUAUAUAUCCACUGUUAGUUCCUCUAUGCUGCUUGAUGCCUUGUACAAAGUGGGUUAUGUGCUGUGCGGCCAUGAGGUAUAGCUCUAUGGUUUCAGUUUCCAUCCAGUGUCAAGUUGGUUCCCAUGAGAUAGAAGAAAGUUGAUCCCCAGAAAUUAAAAAAAGAAGAAAACAAACAAGUUGGCAGUAUUUUUAUGGUUGUUGUAGCUGGACUGAACUUCUAAAUACGCAAAGUUCCUUCCUAGCUCGAGCUCCACGGUACCUCUUCUGAAUAUUAUAUUACUGGACUGGAUGAUGCCAGAAGACAUGAGGUAGACAGAAGGGAAGACUGAACUAUCAGAGGAAUUAGUAGCAUCUCAGGAGCAGCAACAGGAGAUGGAAUCUCUCCCCGUCCCGAGCGUGCAGGCCAUGGUGGCGGCCACCGGCGGAGCCGAUGUGCCACCGAGGUAUCUCCGGCCUGCGGAGGCGGUCACCGGCAUCGUCGACGGCGAGGGUGAGGCCCAGAUCCCCAUCAUCGACUACCGGAGGCUGCUGCUGGAGCUGGAUCCCCGCGGCGAGGAGUCCGCGCGCCUCCACAGCGCCUGCCAGGAAUGGGGCUUCUUCCAGGUCAGUACCGUUGGCUCAAAAUUCUCAGUUGACUUCCCCUUGUAAUUUUGCCUGUUCCUGAUACCAGAAAGUGGUUGGUGCUUUGCAGCUGGUUAACCACAGUGUCCCGGCCGAUGUGGUGGAGGGAAUGAAGGCCAACAUUCAGCAAUUCUUUCAGCUACCCGCAGAGACAAAGAAACGAUUCGCGCAGGAGCGAGGGCAGCUGGAAGGCUACGGUCAGCUGUUCGUCGUCUCGGAGGAUCAGAAGCUUGACUGGGCCGAUAUGCUUUACCUGUACACACAGCCACCUGAGAGCAGGAACACCAAGUUCUGGCCUGACCAGCCUGUUAACUUCAGGUAUGAUUGCUAUGUGCCUGAACUUGUCUUGUUACUGUUCAACCUAAUUACAGUGAAAUUGUGCUUUUUUUGCUCUCUCCUUGCCCUGCUUGGAGGGCAAAUUAGGUAGAAAGUUGAUUAAAAAAACAUCAUUAAGUGCUAACUGCAAGCCUGUUGUUUCAAGCUCUUGCCUUACCAGAUGGAACUUUGCGUUCUUAACCUUCCAUAAUUAAGUGUUGCACUUUGAAUGGCAUUCAGAUCGACGCUGGAUAGAUACUCUGGUGCUGUGAAGGAGAUAGCGGAUUCCCUUUUGGCGACGAUGGCGGAGAACUUGGGACUGAAACAAGAGGUGAUUGCUGACAGAUGCGUGGGCGGAGUGCAGUCUGUCAGGAUGAACUACUACCCGCCGUGCGCUCAAGCAGAGAAAGUCGUCGGCUUCUCCCCGCACUCUGACGCUGAUCUCCUGACCCUCGUCCUCCAAGUGAACCAUGUCCAAGGCCUGCAGAUCAAGAGGAACGGCAGCUGGUUCCCCGUCAGGCCUGUCGAGGGCGCUCUCAUCGUCAACAUUGGGGAUAUCUUUGAGGUAACUGUGAACUCAAUGCUGUUGUCUGCUGAUGAACAGAUAUUAUGACAGAUUUCCUGGUGCCAUACGCUAAGAAUCUGUAGAAUAAAUCAACCGAAUAAACCAGAUUUUCUUUGCCUGUUUUGCUCUGCUGAGGACUGCAGAUCUUCACAAAUGGGAGGUACAGGAGCAUCGAGCACCGUGCGGUCGUCGACCCCAAGGAGGAACGGUUGUCGGCCGCGGCGUUCCACUCCCCGAACAUCCACGCCACGAUAGGCCCGCUGAAGGAGCUUACGGCGGACGAAGACGAGGCCUACAAGACGGUGGACCACGAGAACUUCAUGAGGCUUUUCUUCGCGACGAAGCUGGAGGGGAAGAGCUUCUUGGAUCGGAUGAAGCUGAAGUAGCUAGCAGCUGAUUGCUACGUACCCAGCAUAGCAGGUAAACUGUGUCGUUGGUCCUCGCAUCAUUGUCAGAUAUUCAGGUAGUUCAUGCUCUCUGGAAUUUAGUUCCUGAUGGCCGUCUUGUUGGAGCACAAGAGAGCUGAACUUGGCAAACAUAAUAAUAAUACUGUGGUUUCUUCAGUAGUUGCUUGUGUUCUGCAAACAUUUGAUAGAUUUGCUCCUAUGUGCUUGAUGUCGUGUACAAAGUGGGCUAUGUGCUGCUGUGUCAUUUCAGUUUCUGUCCAGUGUGAAAACAGUUGAUUCCCAGAAAAUAAGAUAAGAAUGGAAGUUGAUCCCCAGAAAAUAAGAAUGAGAAAACAAGCAAGUUCACACUUUUCUAUUUCCAUGGUUGUGGCUGGACUGAUUUUCUGAAUAUUAUAUCAUUGGAUGAUGCGUGUUCGCUACCACCAUAUCUGUAUCUGUCCAUAUGUGCCAAAAGACAUGAGGUAGCCAGAUCAGAAGACUCAAGCAUCCAGGGAACCAGUAGCAUCUCAAUUAUCAAGAGCGGCAAGAGAUGGGAUCUCUUCCCGUCCCGAGUGUGCAGGCCUUGGUGGCGGCCACUGGCGGAGACGAUGUGCCGCCGAGGUAUCUCCGGCCAGAUGCGGCAGCGGAAGCGGUCACCGGUGACGGCGACGGCGAGGCUCAGAUCCCCAUCAUCGACCACCGAAGGCUACUGCUGGAGCUGGACCAUGGCGGCGAGGAGUCUGCACGCCUCCACAGAGCCUGCCAGGACUGGGGCUUCUUCCAGGUCAGUUCGUUCGCUGGCUCACAAUUUCCAUUGCACAUCGGCCUCUGCGGCUAUGCCUAUAUUCCCUCAACGCAACAAACCUAGCAAAGACAGUUGAAUUCCUCCUCUCGUACUACACAUGCCUCAUCAUCCUGAUACUAGCUAGAAUUGCUCUCCUGUUUGUUUGCAGUUAGUUAACCACAGUGUCCCAGACGAUGUGGUGGAGAGCAUGAAGGCCAACAUCCAGCAAUUCUUCCAGCUACCCGCAGAGACGAAGAAGCGAUUCGCUCAGGAGGAAGGGCAGCUAGAAGGCUACGGUCAACUAUUCGUCGUCUCCGAUGAUCAGAAGCUCGACUGGGCUGACAUGCUCUUCCUCUACGCACAGCCACCUGAGAGGAGGAAGACCAGGUUCUGGCCUGACCAGCCUGCUACCUUCAGGUAUGUAAGAUUGCGACGAAAUUCUUCGUUGCCAGUACCUGUCGCGCCGUUCUUGAGCUUAGUUAUUACGAGUACAAUGGAAUGAUGCUUUUUGGUCUGCUCAUUCAGAUCGACGCUGGAUAGAUAUUCUGGUGCGCUGAAGGAUGUAUCAGAUUCCCUUUUGGCUACGAUGGCGAAGAACUUGGGACUGAAACGAGAAACGAUCGCUGAAAAAUGCACCCGUGGAAUGCAGUCUUUCAGAAUGAACUACUACCCCCCAUGCGCCCAAGCAGAGAAAGUCAUUGGCCUGUCCCCGCACUCUGAUGCUAAUCUCCUAACCCUUGUCCUGCAAGUGAACCAUGUCCAGGGCCUGCAGAUCAAGAGGAACGGCAGCUGGCUCCCUGUCAAGCCUGUCCCGGGCGCUUUCAUCGUCAACAUCGGAGAUAUGUUAGAGGUGAGCGCGUGGCGCAGUCGAACACCGAUUCGAUGCUGCUGUCUGUCAAUGACCAGAUGUUAGAGUGUAUAUAUGUAUGGUGUCGUAUGCUAGAUUUUGCAGAACUGACAUAUCAUCGACCAAAUGAACCCAUUCCCGUUGUUUGUCUUGCUUUGACGACAAGGACAGGUCUUCACGAACGGGAGGUACAGGAGCAUCGAGCACCGGGCAGUCGUGGACCCCAAGGAAGAGCGGCUGUCGGUCGCGGCGUUCCACUUCCCAGACAUGGACGCCAUGAUAGGUCCUCUGGAGGAGCUGACCGCACAUGAGGACGACGCCUACAAGACGUUGGACCUCGAGAGCUUCAUGAAGAUCUUCUUCGCGACGAAGCUCGAGGGGAAGAGCUUCUUAGACCGGAUGAAGCUAAACUAGCAGCUGCUGAGUGACAGUUAAACUCUGCUGUCGUCGGUUACGAGUAUGGGGAUUGCAUCUGUGGUGUGUGUUAUCGUUUCAGUUCCUAUAUGUCCAGUGUGAAAAAUAAAGGAAUGAAUAAUGGAGGUUGAUCCCCACAGAAGAAGAAAACAAGCAAGUUGGCAUGAUUUUUUCUGAAUAUUAAGUUACUGUAUGAUGCGUCCUCACCAUCUUCUGUCUAUAUAUGCCAAAAGACAUGAGUUAGCCAGAACAGGGGAACCAGUAGCAUCUCCAUUAUCAAGAGUGGCCAGAGGGGAUGGAAUCUCUCUCCGUCCCGAGUGUGCGGCCACCGGCGGAGUCGAUGUGCCGCCAAGGUAUCUCCGACCAGAGGCGGAAGCGGUCACCGGUGCCGGUGACGGCAACGGCAACGGGGAGGCUCAGAUCCCCAUCAUCGACCACCGGAGGCUGCUGCUGGAGCUGGACCGCCGCGGCGAGGAGUCCUCACGCCUCCACAGAGCCUGCCAGGACUGGGGCUUCUUCCAGGUUAGUUGGCCGCGCACCUGUCUCUGCAUCAUCAUCAUCAUCAGGCUUGAUUUCUGUUAUGCCUCUGGUACUUGCAUCAUCAUCAGGCUUGAUUUCUGUUGCCUGUGUUUUGCUCCCCUGAUGACAGAUGUUGACGAACGGGAGGUACCGGAGCAUCGAGCACCGCGUGGUGGUGGACCCCGAGGAGGAGCGGCUGUCGGUGGCGGCGUUCCACUCGCCAAACACCCGCGCCACUGAAGGAGCUCGUGGUGGGUGCCGACGGGGAAGAAGACGUGGCGUAUGGGACGGUGGAGCAUGGGAGGCUGAGGGAGCUCUUCUUGGCGACGAAGCUGGAGGGGGGAAGAGCUUCUUGGAGCGGAUGAAGCUCCCGAGUAGAAGUAGUAGCUGAACCUAAUGGUGCCUGUCGCAGCAAGUCGUUGUCUCCGAAUUGGUUGCUGUUUUCAGCUUUUCCUUUGUGGUGUGGUGUGGAGAGGGAUGAGCAUUGUGGUGGAUGCUGCCGUGUUGUGUGUGGGAAUCAAUGUUCACAUGCUUCUUUGACGAGGGAUGUGUUGUAUACACAAAUAAUAACAACAACAAAAGGGUCUUCUUAUGACAAUCUUGCUGGCAGAUGGUGAUGACUUGAAUUAAUUUGAAUGAAACAUGGUCAUAACUCGCAUAGCUCUGUGUUCGGCUUCGCGUACUCAUUGUCCCAAACUCACGACUUGCUCUGCCCACCCGCGGCCAUAUGAACACUGGCAAAAUUUUGGCAAAAUCCCAGUGGUUACGUCUAGAUACAUCCAUUUCUGCGACAAGUAAUUCCGAACGGAGGGAGUAGUUGGAACCACAAGUCAUAAACUGCAACCUAAUACAACUCACCAAGUCAUGGUGUAGUAAUCUGGAGAAAAACUCUCAACAGAUAGGGAUACACAUUUGCUAAAGAUAGCCGAGAAACAAAAUGAUCAUCAUGCUAAAUAAAGAUGCUUAUUCGCAACAAUAAUAUCUUCUUUCUUUAAACUUGGUUCUACAUACACAGCGUAUCUCCUGCAUACAAGAGGCUCACUGGCAGGCCUCACGUGUUUGCAAUCGCAGCGUUGAUCAUGGAUACUAAAGCACCAGCAUUACAAAUUACUCCCUCCGUUCCAAAAUAAUUGUCUUUCUAGAGAUUUCAACAAGUGACUACAUACGGAGCAAAAUGAAUGAAUCUACAUUCUAAAACAUGUCUACAUACAUCCGUAUGUUGUAGUCCAUUUGAGAUAGCUAGAAAGACAAUUAUUUUGGAACGGAGGGAGUAUUUUCAUCGACAUGCAGUUGAUUUCUCCGAGAUCAAAACAAGUGAGUCAAAGUGUUCGUCCAAUACUGAAGCUCAAGUCACAGGAGGAUGCGCCGGGUUGGCCACCGCCAAGUUCUUCUUGGUCCUGGGCGUCGAACCCCACCGGUGCUCCUGCUGCUGCUGCUGCAGGACACAAACAGAGAGAUGGAAGAUGUUACAAAAAUGCAGUGUAGAUGCCGAUUCAACAAGCAAACCCAUGUGCCAUUUUGAGCUGGGUAUUAACGGGGCAGCUACAGAAACAUACUCCCUCCGUCCCAAAUUACUUGUCUCAGAUUUGUCUAGACACACCCAUAUCUAGACAAAUCUAAGACAACCAAUUUGGGACGAAGGGAGUACAAGGUUUACUGGAUCGAGUUAUAUAUACUGCAGCUCCACUUUCUUUCAGUUAAUAUAGAAAAAAUGAAACUACUUUAUUCUGUAGUGACAAGAACUGUACCGUUGGUGUUGGUGCUCUGGAAGGGUCAACCAACACUACUCAAACAUGCAUCGGAUCGGAGUGUAAUUAACACCCAUAAGAUCAAAGAAAUCUAACAAAAAUGCAGCAGUGACAGCUGACACUAGAUGAAAAUCAAACUCGUUCAAACCGACCGAUCAAAUUAAUCAAACAGUACGUCCAUCACUUUUGCCAACAAGCUAACAUAAGUUACCUUCCUACUGUUUGAACUUUGGCAUCAUUGACCCAUCUAGGCAUGCAAAUAGUACUGCCAGCAUCACUACAAAUUUCUUUCUAUCCUCAAUCAGUACAAACUUGAUAGUACUACUACUGCUAAUAAUACAAGUGCGUCCCAGCUCUACACAUCCUAGUAGUGAAUUUCUCACACUGCAUAGUACUGCUACGUCUGGUCCACUCACAAAAUCGCAGUGCAAGAAUAGAUAUCCAAAACCACAACAAGCAAACUGCCAAGAGCUGCGAAACAUACCAGAUAUCUAGUAGUUUAGGUUGGCAUUUGAACCAAAGGGUUGUGACCUCCUUCACAGUCAUGAGAUGCCUUGGAUCCUCUAGCGAUUGACGCAAGGCCAUCACACGCACUUCAUUGCUUUCCUGAAACAUCAAGUUUCAGCACCGAAAAUCAACAAAGGCACAAACUCAUGGGCGGAGGUAGUAUUUGUUACAGCAGAAAAAAAAGGGCAUAUGUUUCGUCUGUUUCAUCCAUGCUUUUCCCAUUGAACUGAAACCAUUUCCAAACUACGUGGAUUGGAGCACCCACAAAGCAAAGCAAACCAAACCAAACGAGCUAGCAAGCUAUAAGGGGAAAUCGAAAGCACUGCAACAAGCAAGGAAGGGUCAUCUCUUACCACUGCAGGGGCAUGAGCUCGCCGUAGAUGGCCACGGCAGGAGCCUAGGAUCAUGCUCUCCUCCUUGUCGUCGAGCUAGUUGGGUCCGGGGAUUGGGAGGUGCUGCUGCUCCAGGUCUGGUGUGAGGAGAAGAUAACAAUCAUGCAUUGUUAUAGUAAAAAUAUGAAGAGAAGCAGACAUUUGUUUCUUUGUCUGUCACCGUUAGAGAAUGAGCAGAAACCCAAUUUUGAAUUUUGAUAAAUAGGCAUUGCAGAGAGUGAGCUGCAACGAGUCCAAUGAUAAUAAUAGAGAGAAAAGGAAGUUAGUGAUCACUGAUCUAGGGACCGGUUAUUCCAACGGUAGACACGAAACUGUUUCAGUACAGUACAAUACAAAAAUCUUGCUAAUGCAGCACAAUGAAGGGAAAUGAAGUUCCUACUAAUGAUGUGUUUUCCAAGAAAUGAAACAAUCAAUUUUUUCAGGUAAUAUAAUGGGAACCAAGAGAGACAGUUGGAAACAUUGGUUCUGAAAUAAACUAGAGCUAGGGGAAACUACUUGUACUAGGGCUGCUCUAUGGAGGAGAUGGCAACCACUUUGCACACACGGAUGAUGGAACCAGAGAUGGCACCAUGCACACACUGUAUACGUGUUUGCAAAAAUAACAAGGCAUGAUCUCGCCCACCAUCACAGAAACAAAGUACAACAUCAUCUUGACAAACCGGUGGCAUAGCUUGCCACAGGGGGAUCACCAUCUAAUCUUAAAUGUAACUAGAGAGAAAAGCAACACAUAGAUAUGUAUUUGUGCAGCGGGAUCGGAUCAUCUAGUGCACACAAUACUCUUCUAAAGACAACACCCAGUGCAAGAGACAAAUGUGUUGGUACUUGACAAGAGAUGUAUUUGUUACAGCAGAAACAAAAAAAGAGAUCCUGGCAUGUUUGUCCUAGUGGGCUGAAAUCACCUCCAAACUACAUGGACCACAGCACCCCCACACCAAACCAAAAGGAAAUUGAAGCACUGCAGGAAGCAAGGAAGGGUGGUGGCCUUACCACUUCCGAAGCAAUUGUGUGCCAUCUCUGGUUGCACAGGGUCGUGAUCAUGUGGUUGCUGGUGUUUACUGCCUCCGAAGGUGGUGGUGGUGCUGGCUGAAGGAGAAGAAGAAGAUAAGAACAAGAUAAUCCUAUCUACUCCCUCCGUUCCUAAAUACUUGUCUUUCUAGGCAUUUCAACAAGUGACUACAUACGAAGCAAAAUGAGUGAAUCUACACUCUAAAAUAUGUCUACAUACAUCCGUAUGUAGUAGUCAUUUGAAAUGUCUAGAAAGACAAAUAUUUAGGAACGGAGGGAGUAGAUGCAACCAGCAAACAAGAUAAUGAAAAAAAUGAAUGUUGAGAAGAUGAGAUAGAAUCUACCCCUACAUUGGCAAGAGUGCUGGCCGUGACAGGGACUCUUGAUCUCCUCCAACUUGUCAAGCUAGCUGGGGCCGACUAUUUGGGCACUGCUGCUCCAGGUUGGCCGUGAGGUGGAGCAGCUAGCCAUGUCGUAUUGGCUGAAUCGCGAGGCUGCGCCGUCCCUCUAGCAGAACCGCAUGGAUGAAGGACUACUCUCCCUGUGCUGGACCGUGGAUAAGGAGCACCUCUGUCCCAGCCCAGCACGCAGACAGCUAAAAGUUUCAUAUCAAGUAACCAGAGUAAAUGUCUAACUUGUACAGAUCCCAUGUUUCCAACAAAUGAGAUAAGAUAAAUAUCUACAGAACAAGAGGUGUCAACCUUCCAAGGGCGCCUCUUUUCUGCAAGUGAAAUUGAUAUCCAACCAUUGCCACAUCCUAGCUCUGCUACUGUCAUAUCCCUGAAGAUGGAAUCUGCAUGCCAAUUGGGACCCUCGUAGAAAGUGAAUGGCCAAUCUUCUGGAAUGAAAAUGUAGGGUAUAUCCAUCAUUGUUAGCUUGUUUCUUCGCUGAAAUCCUAAAAGAAGUUAGACAAAUUUGUCAAGGUAUGCAAACUAUGGAGGAGCCAUGAACUGGGAUAGCUUUCUUACAUAGACAAAAUAACGGAGAAAUCAUGUCAGGUACAGACUUCUGGUAAAGGAACCAUGCAGAAUAACAUCUGUUCAAGUUCAAAGACUACACCAUCUUAUAUACAAUAUAGAUUAACUAGAGAUAUUUUGUACUAGAUAUGUUCUAUUUUAGUUGCUAUGGCAGUAACUAUCUCUAGACCUGUAUGUCUUGGUACUUGACAAGAGAUGUAUUUGUUAUAGAAAAAAUAACAGCAAAAUCAUGUCAGGAGCAGACUUGAGGUAAAGAAAGGAAUUUGUAGAGAACUGUUGUUCCAGUUCAAAGACUACACCAACCUAUAUACAAUAUUGCUCAACUAGAGUUAUUCUGAAAUAAGUAUCUGUACACCUGCAUGUGUUGAUACUUGACAAAAGAUGUACUCCCUCCAUCUAGAAUUACUUGUCGCUUGAAUGGAUAUACAUCUAGCAAUGAAAUACUUCCAGAUACAUACAUUUAAGGAACAACUAAUUCCGGGCGGAGAUAAUAUUUGUUACAGCAGAAAAAGAGAGGGCAUAUGUUUCCUCUGUUUCAUCCAUGUUUGUCCCAUUUAACUGAAACCACUUCCAAAUUACAUGGAUUGAGCUACCCCAAAGCAAACCAAACCAAAUGAGCUAGCAAGCUAUCAGGGGAAAUCGAAAGCACUACAACAAGCAAGGAAGGGUCAUCCUCUUACCACUGUAGGGGCAUGAGCUCACCGUAGACGACCAUGGCGGCAGCCCAGGACCUUGCUCUCCUCCUCCUCGUCAAGCUAGUUGGGCUUCCUCGCCGGCGACCACGGCGACGGCGAGCCCUUCGACGGGCCGCUCGGCGUGCUCGGCCACGCCUUCUCCCCGCCCAGCGGCCAGCUCCACCUCGACGCCGCAGAGCGCUGGGCCGUCCUCGGCAGCCGUGGACCUGGAGUCGGUGGCCACGCACGAGAUCGGCCACGUUCUUGGCCUGGCGCACUCGUCGGUCCCGGACGCCGUCAUGUACCCGAGCCUGAAGCCGCGGACGCGCAAGGCGGAGCUGACCCUGGACGACGUCCGCGGCGUGCAGGCGCUCUACGGCUCCAACCCGCGGUUCAGCCUCAGCUCCCUCUCCGAGCCCGACACCUCCGACGCGGCGGCCACCGACACCAGGUCGCCCGGGAAGACGACGGCCAUCCCGCUCCUGUUGCUCGUCGCCGUCGCAAUCCUCUGCUAGCUUGAUCAAGCUCUGCUAGGUGCUACUAGAUAGGAGUACUUACAUAGGAUACUGUAGACAUGAGUGCAUGACACGUCGUAAUUAAUUUGCAAGACUGAUCGGCCAUGGUUUUAUCAGGUGGGGUGGUUUAGAUUGCUUUGAAUUGAAGAAGCAAUUUGUUGUGAUUGGAUAUAUAUUUAUACAAGAAAGCAGAAAAGAAAUACUAGAAAAAAAACACAAGUCAAGCAUAUCGUCGUACUACUUUGUUGUUUCUAAAGCUAACAGGACAGGACAGAUGAGGAUUUUCUUUCUUUCUUGUCUUGGUUGAUGGACAGAUCAUUGAUGAGUUAAGUUAUGGUUUGAUUUUGGAGAAGAAAGUUGCUUCUCUGUGGCUAGUUUUUCUCGGCGUUUCAUGGACCUGGCUAGGGUAGGCAUGCGCUAUCAGGAAGCAUAUGUUAUCCUUCGUUCUUAAAUAUUUGUCUUUUUAGAGAUUUCAAAUGAUUACCACAUACGGAUGUAUAUAGACAUAUUUUAGAGUGUAGAUUCACUCAUUUUGCUCCGGCUGUAGUCACUUGUUGAAAUAUCUAGAAAAACAAAUAUUUAGAAACGGAGAGACUAGCAACUAGUAGUAGCAAGGAUAAAGUAAAGAGAUGAGACGAAAGCAACAUGCACGACGAUGAGACAGACACGAUGGAUCGAUAUCCUUUCUCUUUCGGUUCGGGAUCAAAAAAGUUGCACCAACGACGUCGCGUUCGCAUGCUCCGCACGCACGCACAUGAACGCGUGGAACCCGUGUUGCGGUUGCGUAGUGAGGCCGGCAGCCAUGGAAGCAGCAGUGACGUACGGGCAGACUUUCUCCCUUGAGCAAUGGCGGGUCAGUGUCGGCCAGACUGACUUCUUCCCUGCCGGCUUCGGCUUCUUCGUCCGCACGGCCGCCGCAUCCACCGAUUCUGGUCGCCGGCCGCAGGUGGUGAGAUAACGCGUCCAAGCGGUGGCCGCCUCUUUUCCUCCACGGGCCCGGGCAAGCGAAACCGGUGGGCGCACUAUGCACCAAUUUUUUUAAGAAUUAAUCUCUACUUCUAAUGGAGCAGUUGGUAGUCUCGCUUCCAGAUUUUUUUUCGUCCCACCACUUUCGUCCUGUUUUUUUUCGUAGGUUAACCGUCGUAGAUAUUUUUCGAUGCUGCUUUCUUAUUCACCGGUUUAUUUACCCAUCAGCUUUUUCCUUGCAAAUCAGCACUUUCCAAACGUGCACGUAAUCACGAAUCUAAAUUUACUAACUUAUCCAAAUCAACCGAUACCUUCCAUUAUUGCAAAUUUCUUUAGGAAACAAAUAAUAGAUUUUAAUGAAACAAAUAAAAGAUUUUAAAAACGCAUCAUACUUUACUAACAAUCACUAAAAAUCAAAUCUAAAUUAAUUAACCUUACCUUAAAUCACUCAAUCACUUUAAUUAGAAAACAUUUUCUUUCCUAACUGCAGUUGGUAGUCUCGCUUCCAGGUUUUUUUUCGUCCCACCACUUUCGUCCGGUUUUUUUUUUGUAGGUUAAUCGUCGUAGAUUUUUUUCGAUGCUGGUUUCUUAUUCACCGGUUUAUUUACCCCUCAGCUCUUUACUUGCCAAUCAGUACUUUCCAAACAUGCACGCAAUCACGGAUCUAAAUUUACUAACUUGUCCAAAUCAACCGAUACCUUCCAUUAUUGCAAAUUUCUUUAGGAAACAAAUAAUAUAUUUUAAGGAAACAAAUAAAAGAUUUUAAAGACGCAUCAUACUUUACUAACAAUCACUAAAAAUCAAAUCUAAAUUAAUUAACCUUACCUUAAAUCACUCAAUCACUUUAAUUAGAAAAUAUUUUCUUUCCUAACUGCACCCCGCUUAGUGUGCACAUAACAAUCCGAAGUAAUUACAGUCACAUGAUUGAAUCCAUUUAUUUAGAGUGACAUGAUUGAAUUCAUUUAUUAACAAUAAUCCUCACCAAAAGUGCGUUUAGCAAUUUUAGAGGGCGGACCAAAACUCUGUCAUCCGCUCGCCCGCGUUUGUUUAGGUACAGGAAAAAAUGGCAUAAUAUAUGGAAACAACACGACCGGGGAGACGGCGCAAUCUUCGGGGAUAGGGAUCGGAGGAGAAGGAUUGGCCUGGCAACAUGAUCGGGGUGCUUCCCCGCGGCCGCGGCCGUCCUCGCGAUGCCACCUACCCGAAAUCAACGCUGCUCCCUGUCGUCAGCCGAGGCGACGCCGCCUGCCCUCCUACCCACGGUCCGCUGCCGCGUGCAGCUACGGCGGGAGGAGAAGCGACGGGGCCGAGGUCCUUCAUGUGUUCCGGGAUGGAGGCCAUGAUUUCGUCGAGGUCGUUGCUGCCUCCUACACUCAGGGUGUGUCGCCGAGAUCGAGGCGAGCAUAAGGAGCUGUGGCCACCGCCAUGGUCACCCCAUCGCAGGGGAUGGAGCACACCGUCGGCCUACAGCUUGUGGAGAUCACUGUUGCUCUUCAGGUCGCGUGGUGACCGGAUCUUGCCGAUGUGUCCCUCCCCAACGACCUCCUCUUCGCCCGGUUGGCCGGCAUGGAUCUCGCCACUGCUGCCCUCAACUUCUCUGCCUCGAGCUCGACGGUCAGCCACCAUGGAUCCCCCAGCUGGAGGGUCACGUGAACCAGCCGUCCUCCCAUGCUACAGCGGCGAGAAGGUGACAUGGCUCUCCGUACACGAAGAGUGGAGUUCAGUCAAGUACUUAUAUACUUGGCCUCUACUGCUGAUCCAUGUACAUGGAGAAGAACAGACAACCGCUCAUUCAUGCUUCGUUCCACUCCUUUGCGCUACAUUACUGGAGGUGACAUUUUCCUAUCUCUCUAUGUUGUAACAAGCCUGCUGCCUGCAUAGUUAAUGGAUUUUUUAUUUAAAUUUAUCGCUGCUUAGUGCUUUGUUGCAAUUGUUCACCCAAGAUUCUUAUAUAUAAUCUGAGCGUAUGUAGGCAUACUUAGCUUUGCUAUUCCAUUUUUUCUGGCGCAUAGAAAUAAGAGUAUUGUCCAGGUUAGGUAUUCAAUUGAGUAUGGUAUUUGGAUUGCUAUCAGAAUGUCUUUUCUAUGCAUGUGAUUUCUCACAUCUGAUUAUAAUAUUUGUGAAGACGUGCAUUGCACGUGCACUUGGAAGCGGGCCCGUGGCCCGCGCUGGACGGCGCCGACGCCGACCCGAGCCACCUCGUCCGCGUAUUCUUGGAGCUGUGGCUGGUCGAUUUACAUGAAAUUAAUUCCCCCAGUUCUGGUGGCAAAUAUAAUACACAUAAUCCAUAUUGUUAUGCACUAGCGUGUAUGUGUGAAAUAGAUGGAUUAUGAUCCCGUACCCAAUAAGAUAGAUAUGCAUGUGUGUUAGAGAGAGAGGGAGAGGGGGAUAGAGAGUGAGGAAGAGGGAGGAAGAGUGUGUGUCUGUGUGUGUGAGGAUUUGAUGGUAAAAAAGAUCGUCAAUAUCGUAAUAUUGAACUCUUAAAAUUAAUGUAACCCCGUUGCAACGCACGGGCGUUCUUCUAGUACUACUAAUACUCAAGUGUUGUAGUACUCCUGUAAAAAGUUUCGUCAAGGAAUGGAUUUCCUGGUAUUGUGGGCGAAAAAAAAAAUUACCACUAUAUAUACAGGUCACUAUUCACACUUUUUGUCCCUUGAUUUUUUUUCCAGAAGGCGAUAGGAGUUUUUUGUUGACGAAAUUUUCUAUACAAGUGCAAAAUAGAGUCAAGAUUGUUCCCCAAAAAAUCAGAUUUUUUUUUGACUUUUUCUAAAUUACUAAAUUUGUUGUUUUUCUUUACUAUUUUUGAAUUAGUAAAUUUGUUUCUCAACGAAAAGUGCUGGCCGGCUUCGGUGUGGGCUCGUUGCAGCAGAGUUGUCGUCGCUGGUCCAAGAACCAUGAUGUAUUUUUAUGAAGUUUAGACAUGCUUUCUAGUAUUGAAUUCAUGCUUCAACCAGCUGCUUCGAAAGUCCGAGCUAGGGAGAGGGCCGAACAUUAUACUCCAACACCCCCCUCACGUCUAUGCUCCUUAACUAAUCGAUGUAGAUUGCAGAUGAACUCGUGCUCCAGCCAGUUGCUUCAAAAGUCCGAACUGAUUUAGAGAGGCGAGCAAUAUAUUUCACCUGAACACUCCCCCUCACGUCUAGUCUUAUUUAUUUUUGAGACGUGGGAUAGAUGUAUAGAAUCUUUUUAUUUUAAUAUUGUGUUGACAGUGUUUUGAACUCAAGAUCUGUUGACUUUAAUACCAUAUUGAAUUCAUGAUUCAGCCAGUUCUCCAAAAGUCUGAACUAUGAGUUAUUACCGAACAUUAUACUCAUAUACUUCUGUGUGCAAUUUGAAAACCAUAAUUGUUGUUGCAAAAAGUGCAAGCUUUGUGUUUUUAUAAGGACAAAUAGGAACACAAUUCUGUGUGCACUUUCACGUACGCACGAGCAAAUUCUGUGUGCGUUUCAUGGACCUGGCUAGGCUAGCAUGCACUAUCAGGAAGGCAUUAUAUUAUCGUGCAGCAACUAGCAGCAAGGAUAAAGUAAAGAGAUGAGACGAAAGCAACAUGCACGACGACGAGACAGACACCAUGGAUCGAUAUCCUUUUUCUUUCAGUCCGGGAUCAAAAAAGUUGCACCAGCGACGUCGCGUUCGCAUGCUCCGCACGCACACACAUGAACGCGUGGAAUCCGUGUUGCGAUCAGGUGCGGCUCCAGCGUGGGGUCGUGUAGGGGCGGCCGCCCCGGGUAAAAUUUUGAAACCUAGGGUACCCCCAUACUGAUUUUGGCUGGCGGCCACCAUGGGAGUCGGGCAGGUUUGCUGGAAGGUCUCAGGUGUGGUCGAGCGGGACGAGGAAAGAGGAAAACGAUUCGCCAGGUAACUGCUCGCUAGGAGAUCUUUAGAUGGGCCAAUCAAGUAAGCCCAAUAAAACUUAGAUGAGCCCAUCAGUUAUUGUACGCAGCCUGAUUUUCACGUUCACAGUUCUCCUGGAACUAAUUGUCCUGAUUCCUGAACUCACGCCUCACGCCUCACACGAUCAUGCCCUGCCGACGCGAUGCCGCCUCCACUGCCGUCUCGUUGUCGUCUGCGCUGCCCAGGUCUAUCCAGCCGAUGGUGCUAGAUGGAGAAGGAGAAACGAGUCCACCUGUUCUCCAUGCCGUUCAUACGGGAAGAGGAGUCGCCGCGAGCAGGCAACAGAGGCAACAAGGACCAGGUUCUUUCGCUCUCCCCUAGUAUUCUCUUCUGUUCUAGUAUCAUGUUUAAUUUGUUGUCAUGUUAGCCUAAUUCUUGGAAGAUGAACACUGAAAAUUAAUUACAAAUGUGAUGUUCGGGCCAUCUUACAAAUCCUCCACGUAUAACUACAACUUAGUGGUAAACAUUUGCUGUGUCUUUUGUUUAAAAAAAUGGCAUACUAUUCCAUGAUUUAGAUUAAUCUGAUUGUUUUUACAUGUUUCAGGUAGUCCAGGUUAGACAUUAUGUGAUUUUUUGCGUUACCAUAUUUUACCUAGUUCUUGCAGAUGAAACUACUUUGAUAAAUUUAUUGUGUUGAUAGUCUUGCCUACAUGCAUACUCUUGGUCAAUUAUUUUUCUUGAUUGUCGUAUUUGAUCAUAUUGUGGUUUUGAAUUUUUGUUUCCUAUAAAAGUCCGCCCUGGUAACUUCAAAUCCUGGAUCCGCCACUGGUUGCGAUUGCGUAGUGAGGCGGGCAGACUUUCUCCGUUGAGCAGUGGCGGGUCAGUGUCGCCCAGACUGACUUUUCCGGCCGGCCGGCUUCGUCCGCACGGCCGCCGCAUCCACCGAUUCUGGUCGCCGGCCGCUGGUGGUGGGCCCUUGAUUUUUUGUCCCUUGAUUUUUUUUCGUUGAUUACCACUAUAUAUACAGGUCACUAUUCACACUUUUUGUCCCUUGAUUUUUUUUCCAGAAGGCGAUAGGGGUUUUUUGUUGACGAAAUUUUCUAUACAAAUGCAAAAUAAAGUAAAGUUUGUUAAAACAAAAUAAGUUUUUUUUUACUUUUUCUGAAUUACUAAAUUUGUUGUUGUUGUUUUCACUUUUUAAACUUACUAAAUUUGUAACGAAAAGUGUUGGCCGGCUUCAGAGUGGGCUCGCUGCAGCAGAGUUGUCGUCGCUGGUCCAAGAACCAUGAUGUAUUUUUAUGAAGUUUAGACAUGCUUUCUAGUAUUGAAUUCAUGCUUCAACCAGCUGCUUCGAAAGUCCGGGCUAGGGAGAGGGCCGGACAUUAUACUCCAACACCCCCCUCACGUCUAUGCUCCUUAACUAAUCGAUGUAGAUUGCAGAUGAACUCGUGCUCCAGCCAGUUGCUUCAAAAGUCCGAACUGAUUUAGAGAGGCGAGCAAUAUAUUUCACCUGAACACUCCCCCUCACAUCUAGACUUAUCUAUUUCUUAGACGUGGGGUCGAUGUAGGCCGUAGAAUCCUUUUAUUUUAAUAUUGUGUUGACAGUGUUUUGAACUCAAGACCUUUUGACUUUAAUACCAUAUUGAAUUCAUGAUUCAGCCAGUUCUCCAAAAGUCCAAACUAUGAGUUAUUACCAAACAUUAUACUCUAACAUAUACUUCUGUGUCCAAUUUGCGAACCACAAUUUUUGUUGCGAAAAGUGCAAGCUUUGUGUUUUUAUAAGGACAAAUAUAGGAACACAAUUCUGUGUGCACUUUCACGUACGCACGAGCACGAUCUUGUAAAGUGAUGAGUACAUGGGUGGGAGGCAUUAUUAUUGUACGUUGGUGGGUUGGGCCGGCAGCGGCAUCCGUGCUACAGACGGAAUUUCUGCCUUCGGCAAUGGCGGGUCGCUGUCGUCCAAACUUAGCCGGCCUGCACGCGUCCGUCGUGAGUUGCCGUCUGCACGCACGGUCGCCACCUCUGCUUCGGCUUAGGGGCUGGACGUUCCGCUGCGUGCGCCUCAAAAAGAUUGCUGUCUCUUUCCUUCCCUACAAAAGAUGAAAAGGAAUUAUUUUUUCUUUGCCGGGAAAAGAUGAAAAGAAAUCGAUCCCUGUGAAAGAAGAAAUAAAAAAAAAGUCGGUGAGAUAAGCAAAUUCUCAUACUGUAAACUGGUCCGAAGGGAGUACUGGUCAACUUUGGAAGGAUUCGUGCAAACGGGCCGGCCCAUUACCAGGCGACAACCAACGUAAUAGAAUGUUUUUUCAUUAAAAAUUGCAGCCUGGAUGGAUUCAAACCCGUGACCUAAUGCUGGAUAAACCCGUGAUUACAUACAUCUUUUUUCGUCUUUUCUUCUUUCUUCCGUUCUUUUCUUUUUCUCUGCCCUUUUUUCUUUAACUUUUCAAAUUCGUGGACUCUUUCUUCAAAAUAGAUUAACCUUUUCCAAAAUCCAUCAACUUGAAAAACAAUCAAUAAUUUUUUUCAAAAUCGAAGAACUUUUUUCAGCUUUAUGAUUUUUUGUCCAAAGUUGAUGAACUUUUUCUCAAAUUCGAUGAUUUUGGAUCAAAAUUGAUAAAAUGUGUUUUCUUUUUUUUCUGUAUUUUUUCAAAUUGAUGGACUUAAAAAAAGAUGAACAGUUUUCAAAUUUACAUUGUUUUUAGAAAAUCGAUGAAAUGUUUUCAAAGUUGAUGAACUUUUUUACAAUUCGUGAACUUUUUUAAAAUCAAUCAAUUUUUUAAAAAUUGUGUAUUUUUGAAAUCUGCAAACUUUUUUCAUAUCGAUCAGCAUUUUUUCCAAAUUUUCAAAAGUCAAUAAUCAACACGGUCAACUGCAAGCGGUCAAAGGUUAAAUGGUCAACUGGUGCCAUCAAACUAGCGAGGAAGCUUUUUUUAUCGAGCGAAGCGAUCGAACGAAGCGACCGAUUAUUUUUCCUUAUUGGGCUGGUCCAAGAAAGAGCUUGCACGUGAGCCCCGGGAGCCAAAAUUGGCCGAAAUCACUAAUUGAGGAGUACUCCUUUCAAAGUUCACUCCCACCUCCCCGGGUUGCGAAAAAGUGGAACACUGCAUAUGCACCACUUGUCAAAACCUGAGAGUUUUGCCUUUUUCGCAAAUCUAUUUUUUCAAAACGCUUUAUCUCUAAAACCAUGCAUCCAAAUCUCGAACCGUUUUCACCGUUGGAUUCCUUGCGCCGAGAUCUUCAAAACUAGGUCUCAUGUUGAUAGGUUUUGACAACUCUUUUUCACAAAAAAAUCGGACACGAACUGGGAGCACAUUUUUCCCCUUACUUGAAGCCGUUUCCGAGAGGCACAGCCGUGCCUCUCGCGGAAGCAAAGCCGUAGCUCUCGAGGAAAAAAGAAAACUCGCUUUUCUUUCAUUUUCGAGAGGGGCAAGCAAAAACGUGCCUCCCACGGAAGAGAAAAAAAAGAGAGAAAACACUUAUUUUUUAUUCCGAGAGGCACGGCCGUGCCAUUCACGAAAGCAAAACCGAGCCUCUCGCAAAAGCAAAAUCAUGCCUUUCACGGAAUAAAAAAAAGAGGGAAAAUGCAUUUUUUUUCUGGUUCCGAGAGACACUGUCGUGCCUCUCGCAGAAGCAAAACCGUGCCUCUCACGAAAAAUAUAUAUAUAUAUGAGAAAACACGUUUUUCUGUUUACGAGAGGCACAACCAUGCCUCUCGCGGAAGAAAAAUCGUACCUCUCACGGAAGCAAACAAAAGAAAAACUCAUUUUUUAUACGUUUUAAAAAAAAUCUUGUCAAAGAGCUAGAAAAGAUCGGUGAAAAACAGGAAAGAAAAAAAACAGGAAAAAACCAUCUAAAAAGCAUAAAAGGCAUGUGAAAAAUAAAAAUAAAAAUAAAAUUCGGAUGGAGCGUCCAGGGUGCGACACGUGGCGGCGGUUGAGAGUACACCAAGUGGUAGCUCUCAGUCCACCCCCAAGUGAUUGUUGGGAGGCUUCCAAAAAGGAGCGCUCGCCAACUAGUUACUUACAUUUCUGCGCAUAUGGCGCCAACGAGGAGCACUCCUAGGGCUUUAUCUAGAUGCAGCUUGGUUUAACGAGUUGGGCCCAACAAUGUUAAUAGUCUGAGCUGGUUAUUUGUUUUCCUUUCUUUUGUUUUUGUGUUGUUUGUAAAUGAUUUUCUUUGUUUCUUCACCACUGUUCUUCGGUUCUUCUGCAUUUCUCCACCAGUUGUCUUCUUUUUCCCAUUUUCCAACACAUUGUACACUAUUAGUGUACAUUUCGAACAUUUGUUUGUACAGGUCGGGCAUUUUUUAAAAUUGAAGAGAUAUAUUUAUAUUUUGAAUAAUUUUUAAAACACAUUAAACAUUUUUCUAAUACACAUUGAAGAAGAUGUAUAUAUUUUCAGAUGUAUGUUUUUAUUUUUUAAUACAUGUUAAGCAUUUUCAAAUACACAUUUAAAUUUUGUGUCAAACUAGGCAAAAGUUGUAUUACAUUGUAUAAACUUUUGUUAAAUGUGAUGAACAUUUAUAUGAAAUGCGUGAGUAUUUCUUUCAAAUGUCUAUUACUUUUUUAAUGACAUGAGUUUUUUCUAUGAGAAAUUGAAAAUACCAUGUACAGCCUUUUGAAAGACAUUACAUUGUUUUGAAAUGUCGUGUGCAUUGUUUUAUUGGUACAAAUUUUCUAUCUGACGUAAACAUUUUUUGUAUUGCAUAAAAUUUUCGUUAGAUGUAACAAACAUUUUCUUGAAGUAUGUGAACAUUUUUGGAAUGUCACGAACAAAUUUUCAAACACGAUCAACAUUUUUUCCAAGUUCUGUGAAUAGUUGUUUUACACUAAACAAACAUUUUUCAAACGAGUGAUUAAUACUUUAUUGGAAUUAAAUAAAAUAUGUUUCUAUUUGAGAAAUAUUAAAAGAAAUAAAUAAAAAAAUGUGUGCCAGGAGCCAGCCCUUCCUCAUACGAUGGGACGGACCAUUUAGGGAGGUGCCUUAGGUUGGGGGUUCUUCCGUCUCACUAUAAGCGAGACAAAACCCAAAUUGGUGCACAAUAGAGUGUAUUCAGUAUGCGGCGCGCACGAAAUCACUAAUUAAGGAGCACUCUUUCUGAAGGCCACUCCCACAUUCUCAUGUAGCGACAAAGUGGCGCACCGGGAGUUUUAUCUUUUGUUUUUCAUAGAUCCGUUUAUUCAAAAUGUUUUAUCUCUUAAACAGUGUGUCCAAAUCUCGAAUUGUUUUCAUCGUUGGAUUCCCCUAUUCAAAAGUAGAUCACAUAUUGAUAGGUUUUGACGAUUUUUUUUAAAAAGAACAAAAUAAAACAGAGGAAAAAACCACACCGGGAGCACAUUUUUUUCCUUUCCAAAAACCAUUUCAGAGAGGCACGUCUGUGCCUCUCGUGGAAGCAAAAGCGUCCCUCUCGCGGAAGGGAAAAACACGUGCCUCUCGCGGAAGAAGAAAAAAGAAAAUAUGGUUUUUCGUGUUUCUGUGACACAUGGCCGUGCCUCUUCUGGAGGCAAAUCCAUACCACUCAUGGAAGGAAAAACAAAGAGAAAAUGUAUUAUCUUCUUCGAGAGGCACGGCCGUGCCUCUUGCGGAAGCAAAAGAAAAAGAUAAGCAUUUUUUUCCUUUGUUGAGAGGCACGAGCAUGCCUCUAGCAGAAGCAAAUCCAUGCCUCUCGCGAAAAAACACUCUGUGCCUCUCGCGGAAGGAAAAAAAGUACUUUUUUUGAAAAACAAAAAAAAUCAAAUUUAUUUUUGUUGAAAAGCUAAAAAAGACUGGUGAAAAACCCGAAAAUAAACCUUCUAAAUAACCGACAACAUGUGUGGAAAAUUAAAAGAAAAUAUCCGAAGGAAGCGUCUAGAGCGUGACAUUGGCGCGCUCGCAACCCACCCUCUCGAAGGGGCCCUCCUCAAUUAUUUGCUCUCCGGCGCACACCUUACCACCCCACAACCGAAAUGGGCAGGCCCAUUCAGCGGAGGAGCAAAAAUUGGUCUUCUUGUGUUUUAAUCUUCUUUUGGCUGUUUUUCUUCCUGUUUUGUUUUUGUCAGGUGUCAAGCCGGUAUUUCGUUGUUCUUAUUUUGGUUUUAUUCUUUUCCUGUUCCCCCUUUAAAUUUCAUGAAUAUUUCCCUUUUGUCAAAUUCGUGAUUUUUCCUAAAUUCGGGAUUUUUUACCUUAAAUUCAUGACAUUUUUCAACUUCGUAAACUUUUUGUCUCAAACUCGUGAAAUUUUUCCUUAGAUAUAUGAACAUUUUUGUCUCAAAUUUCUGUGACGUUUUUCAAAUUUGUGAAGUUUUUCCCUCAAAUAUGUGAUCUUCCUUCAAAUUCGUGAACCUUUUUUCUGAAAUAUGUGAACCAUUUUAAAAUUCAUGAUUUUGAAACAUUUGAUUUUCUCAAAGUCCUGAACUUCUUUCCAAUUCAUGAACUUUUUUCCUGAAAUUUGUGAACAUUUUCCCAAAUUCAUGAACUUUUUAAAAUUCCUGGAACUCCUGAAGUUCUUUCCAAUUCUUUAAAUUUGAUGAAGUUCAAAAAAUUCAACUCUGUGAAAUUUUCUGAAUUCAUGAAUAUGUUUCAAAUUUGUGAUUUUUUUUUUCAAAUCUAUUAACAAUUUUGAGUUUUGUAAUUUUUUUCUUAAAUUCGUUUUUUUUAAUCUAUGAAUAUAUUUUAAUUCAAAAAAUCUGGAACCAUAAUGAAACAGAAUAAGAGAAAACCAAGAAAAAAAAA
rnacentral:lncRNA from 1 species